rnacentral:rRNA from 1 species
GACGAAGGUGGCGAGCGUUGUUCGGAAUCACUGGGCAUAAAGCGCACGUAGGCGGCGGCGUAAGUCGGGUGUGAAAUCCCUCGGCCCAACCGAGGAACUGCGCCCGAUACUGCGUUGCUUGAGGACCAAAGGGGUGCAUGGAAUUCCCGGUGGAGCGGUGAAAUGCGUUGAUAUCGGGAGGAACGCCGGCGGCGAAAGCGGUGCACUGGUUGGUUUCUGACGCUGAGGUGCGAAAGCCAGGGGAGCAAACGGG